AACGAACGCUGGCGGCAGGCUUAACACAUGCAAGUCGAGCGGACCCUUCGGGGUCAGCGGCGGACGGGUGAGUAACGCGUGGGAACGUGCCCCUUUCUUCGGAAUAGCCCUGGGAAACCGGGAGUAAUGCCGGAUACGCCCGUGAGGAGUAGAUCCUUGGGGGGAAAGAUUUAUCGGAGAGGGAUCGGCCCGCGUUGGAUUAGGUAGUUGGUGGGGUAACGGCCUACCAAGCCGACGAUCCAUAGCUGGUUUGAGAGGAUGAUCAGCCACACUGGGACUGAGACACGGCCCAGACUCCUACGGGAGGCAGCAGUGGGGAAUCUUGGACAAUGGGGGCAACCCUGAUCCAGCCAUGCCGCGUGAGCGAUGAAGGCCUUAGGGUUGUAAAGCUCUUUCAGCGGGGAAGAUAAUGACGGUACCCGCAGAAGAAGCCCCGGCUAACUCCGUGCCAGCAGCCGCCGUAAAAC
rnacentral:rRNA from 1 species